rnacentral:rRNA from 1 species
UACGGUAGGGUGCAAGCGUUGUCCGGAAUUAUUGGGCGUAAAGAGCUCGUAGGCGGUUUGUCGCGUCUGCUGUGAAAACUCGGGGCUUAACCCCGGGCCUGCAGUGGGUACGGGCAGACUAGAGUGCGGUAGGGGAGACUGGAAUUCCUGGUGUAGCGGUGAAAUGCGCAGAUAUCAGGAGGAACACCGGUGGCGAAGGCGGGGUCUCUGGGCCGUAACUGACGCUGAGACGCGAAAGCGUGGGGAGCAAACAGG